rnacentral:rRNA from 1 species
CCUACGGGGGGCAGCAGUGAGGAAUAUUGGUCAAUGGGCGCGAGCCUGAACCAGCCAAGUCGCGUGAAGGAUGACUGUCCUACGGGUUGUAAACUUCUUUUAUAAAGGAGUAAAGUGAGGCACGUGUGCCUGUUUGUAUGUACUUUAUGAAUAAGGAUCGGCUAACUCCGUGCCAGCAGCCGCGGUAAUACGGAGGAUCCGAGCGUUAUCCGGAUUUAUUGGGUUUAAAGGGUGCGCAGGCGGAUUUUUAAGUCAGCGGUAAAAUCGUGGGGCUCAACCCCAUCCAGCCGUUGAAACUGGGGAUCUUGAGUGUGCGAGAGGUAUGCGGAAUGCGUGGUGUAGCGGUGAAAUGCAUAGAUAUCACGCAGAACCCCGAUUGCGAAGGCAGCAUACCGGUGCACAACUGACGCUGAGGCACGAAAGCGUGGGUAUCGAACAGGAUUAGAUACCCGGGUAGUC